AGCGAACGCUGGCGGCAGGCUUAACACAUGCAAGUCGAGCGGGCAUCCUUGUGGUGUCAGCGGCGGACGGGUGAGUAACGCGUGGGAACGUGCCCUUUGGCUCGCACUAACCCUGGGAAACUCUAGCUAAUACCGGAUACGUGCGAGAGCAGAAAGGUUUAUCUGGCGAAGGAUCGGCCCGCGUCUGAUUAGCUAGUUGGUGAGGUUAUGGCUCACCAAGGCGACGAUCAGUAGCUGGUCUGAGAGGAUGAUCAGCCGCACUGGGACUGAGACACGGCCCAGACUCCUACGCGAGGCAGCAGUGGGGAAUAUUGGACGAGGGGGGCAACCCUGAUCCAGCCGUGCCGCGUGAGUGAUGACGGCCUUAGGGUUGUAAAGCUCUUUUCUCCGGGGCGAUAAUGACGGUACCGGAGGAAUAAGCCCCGGCUAACUUCGUG
rnacentral:rRNA from 1 species